ensembl:lncRNA
AUGGGUCCCUAUGGGUCCCUAUGGGUCCCUAUGGGUCCCUAUGGGUCUCUAUGGGUCCCUAUGGGUCUCCCUGCCCCACACUUUAGGCUGGAGCCCGGCUCAGGCCCAGAUGUUGGGGACACAGUUUUGGGGUCAGCGCCCCCCAGGUGAGUGAUGACGUCAUCAGUGACGUCACCGGGUGUGAUGACAUCAUCGUGAUGACAUCAUAGGGUGGAUGACGUCAUCAACCCACCCCCCCCCAUAUCUGUGACCCACAGAGCAGGAACCGGGACCUAAAAUCAGGUACUUAUGGGGUGAUAUGGGGUCCCUAUGGGGUCUCUAUGGGUCCCUAUGGGGUCUCUAUGGGUCCCUAUGGGUCCCUAUGGGUCUCUAUGGGUCCCUAUGGGUCUCUAUGGGUCCCUAUGGGGUCACUAUGGGUCCUAUGGGGUCUCUAUGGGUCUUAUGGGUUGCUAUGGAUCCUAUGGGGUCCCUAUGGGUCUCAAUGGGUUCGCUAUGGGUCCCUAUGGGUCUCUGUGGGUCCUAUGGGGUCCCUAUGGGUCUCUAUGGGGUUAUUAUGGGGUCCUAUGGGGUCAGUAUUGGUCUCUAUGGGGUCCCUAUGGGGUCUCUAUGGGUCUUAUGGGUCCCUAUGGGGUUCUUAUGGGGUCCUAUGGGUUUCUAUGGGUCCCUAUGGGGUCUCUAUGGGUCCCUAUGAGGUUCCUAUGGGUUUCUAUGGGUCCUAUGGGUUCGCUAUGGGUCCCUAUGGGUCCUAUGGGUUUCUAUGGUCCCUAUGGGGUCCCUAUGGGUCUCUAUGGGUUCGCUAUGGGUCCCUAUUGGGUUCUUAUGGGUCCCUAUGGGGUCUCUAUGGGUCCUAUGGGGUCUUUAUGGGUCACUAUGGGGUUGCUAUGGGUCCCUAUGGGGUUGUUAUGGGUCUCUAUGGGUUUCUAUGGGGUCCCUAUGGGGUCAUUAUGGGUCUUAUGGGGUCUCUAUGGGGUUGUUAUGGGUCCCUAUGGGGUUAUUAUGGGUCUUAUGGGGUCCCUAUGGGGUUUUUAUGGGUCCCUGUGGGUCACUAUGGGGUCUCUAUGGGUCCCUAUGGGGUUGUUAUGGGUCCUAUGGGGUCAUUAUGGGUCUCUGUGGGUCCCUAUGGGGUUGUUAUGGGUCCCUAUGGGUUGUAUGGGUCUUAUGGGUCUCUAUGGGGUCCCUAUGGGUCCCUAUGGGGNGGUCUCCCUGCCCCACACUUUAGGCUGGAGCCCGGUUCAGGCCCAGAUGUUGGGGACACAGUUUUGGGGUCAGCGCCCCCCAGAGCAGGAACCAGGACCUAAAAUCAGGUACUUAUGGGGUGAUAUGGGGUCUCUAUGGGUCUCUAUGGGUCCCUAUGGGGUUGUUAUGGGUCCCUAUGGGUCACUAUGGGUCCCUAUGGGGUCUUUAUGGGUUCUUUGGGGUCUCUAUGGGUCCCUAUGGGGUUCUUAUGGGGUCCUAUGGGGUCUCUAUGGGUCCCUGUGGGGUCAUUAUGGGUCUCUAUGGGUCUCUGUGGGUCCCUAUGGGGUCUCUAUGGGUCCCUAUGGGGUUCUUAUGGGGUCCUAUGGGUUUCUAUGGGUCCUAUGGGGUCCCUAUGGGGUCUCUAUGGGUCUCUGUGGGUCCCUAUUGGGUUCUUAUGGGUCCCUAUGGGGUCUCUAUGGGUCCUAUGGGUCACUAUGGGUCCCUAUGGGGUCUUUAUGGGUUCUUUGGGGUCUCUAUGGGUCUCUGUGGGUCUCUAUGGGGUUUCUAUGGGUCACUAUGGGUCCCUAUGGGUCCUAUGGGGUCUCUAUGGGUUUCUAUGGGGUCUCUAUGGGUCCUGUGGGGUCUCUAUGGGUCUUAUGGGUCUCUAUGGGUUCGCUAUGUGUCCCUAUGGGGUCUCUAUGGGUCCUAUGGGGUCUCUAUGGGUCACAAUGGGUCCCUAUAGGGUUGUUAUGGGUCCCUAUGGGUCCUGUGGGUUUCUAUGGGGUCCCUAUGGGGUCUCUAUGGGGUCAUUAUUGGUCUUAUGGGGUCUCUGUGGGGGGAUAUGGGGAUCUAUGGGUCUCUAUGGGGUUCUUAUGGGGUCCUAUGGGUUUCUAUGGGUCCUAUGGGGUCACUAUGGGUCUCUAUGGAUCCUAUGGGGUCCCUAUGGGUCUUAAUGGGUUCGCUAUGGGUCCCUAUGGGGUCUUUAUGGAUCCUAUGGGGUCCCUAUGUGUCUCUAUGGGGUGCUAUGGGGUCAGUAUGGGUCUCUAUGGGGUCUCUAUGGGUCCUAUGGGUUUCUACGGGGUCCCUAUGGGGUCUUUAUGGGUCCUAUGGGGUCCCUAUGGGGUCAUUAUGGGUCUUAUGGGGCCGCUAUGGGGUCAGUAUGGGUCUCUGUGGGUCCUAUGGGGUCUCUAUGGGUCCCUAUGGGGUCUCUAUGGGUCCCUAUGGGGUCUCUAUGGGUCCCUAUGGGGUUGUUAUGGGUCUCUAUGGGUCCCUAUGGGGUUCUUAUGGGGUCCUAUGGGGUCUCUAUGGGGUCUCUAUGGGUCCCUAUUGGGUUCUUAUGGGUCUUAUGGGUCUCUAUGGGGUCACUAUGGGUCCCUAUGGGUCCCUAUGAGGUUCUUAUGGGUCCCUAUGGGUCACUAUGGGGUCUCUAUGGGUCUUAUGGGGUCUUUGUGGGUCUCUAUGGGGUCCCUAUGGGUCCCUAUUGGGUUCUUAUGGGUCCCUAUGGGGUCUCUAUGGGUCCCUAUGGGGUCUCUAUGGGUCUCUAUGGGGUCAAUAUGGGUCUCUAUGGGUCCCUAUGGGGUUGUUAUGGGCCCUAUGGGGUCAUUAUGGGUCUCUAUGGGUCUCUAUGGGUCCCUAUGGGGUUGUUAUGGGUCUCUAUGGGUCCCUAUGGGUCGUAUGGGUCUUAUGGGUCUCUAUGGGGUCUCUAUGGGUCCUAUGGGGUUGUAUGGGUCCCUAUGGGUCUCUAUGGGUCCCUAUGGGGUCUCUAUGGGGUCAUUAUUGGUCUUAUNGGUCUCCCUGCCCCACACUUUAGGCUGGAGCCCGGUUCAGGCCCAGAUGUUGGGGACACAGUUUUGGGGUCAGCGCCCCCCAGAGCAGGAACCAGGACCUAAAAUCAGGUUCACAGCGGAGCUGGCUCGUGCCUACCUGGCUGUGAGGCUCAGGAGGGACCACGCGGCUGUGGGGCGGGCACUGCAAGAGGGCGGCCCACGAGUUAUGGGGCGGCAGCGUGCGGCACUACGUGUGUGUGGGGCCAUCCAGGGCCAUGAGGGACAUGGGGGAGAGACUGAGACACGGUGAGGGGGU